UACGGAGGGUGCAAGCGUUAUCCGGAUUCACUGGGUUUAAAGGGAGCGUAGGUGGGUCGGUAAGUCAGUGGUGAAAUCCCCGAGCUUAACUUGGGAACUGCCAUUGAUACUAUCGAUCUUGAAUACUGUGGAGGUAAGCGGAAUAUAUCAUGUAGCGGUGAAAUGCUUAGAUAUGAUAUAGAACACCAAUAGCGAAGGCAGCUUACUACGCAGUUAUUGACACUGAGGCUCGAAAGCGUGGGGAUCAAACAGG
rnacentral:rRNA from 1 species